rnacentral:rRNA from 1 species
UACGGAGGGUGCAAGCGUUAUCCGGAUUCACUGGGUUUAAAUGGUGCGUAGGUGGGUUGAUAAGUCAGUGGUGAAAUCCCCGAGCUUAACUUGGGAACUGCCAUUGAUACUAUUGAUCUUGAAUACCGUGGAGGUCAGCGGAAUAUGUCAUGUAGCGGUGAAAUGCUUAGAUAUGACAUAGAACACCAAUUGCGAAGGCAGCUGGCUACGCGAAUAUUGACACUGAUGCACGAAAGCGUGGGGAUCAAACAGG